rnacentral:lncRNA from 1 species
UUAUAUACACUAAAUAUAAUUAUAAGAAUAGAAUGGAAGACUGCAAUGCAUUCUGGUGUUACACUGUGAAAUUAAACUGUUCCAACCGUUUCAACAAGUACUUUACACAGUGGAAAUAUCUCUGUGUCCUAGCUGAAAAAACGGCCAUGGAGAAUUGGAUAUGCAUGCUCAAUCAGAGUUGUCAAGUAUUUUUUACUAAAAAAGGGAUUAAGCUUUUAAAAAUUUUAAAGUGUAAGAGCUGUGUUUAUAAACUCAAAUUAAUGAUAACAUGUUUUUCAAAUCUCAAGUAUAUAAAUAGUAUGCAGAAGUCAGGAAUGGCCAAGAAAAGAAUCGCAGUACCACAGUUUCAUCAAAUCACUGGAGUAUCAAAGAUUUCUAUUCUACAGACAUAUUGUUGCCAAAAGGACAAAAGUGUCAGCAUGUAAAAGAGAAAUAUUUGGAAAAAAUGAUCUAAAUUAGGACUAAGUAAUACAUAUAAUUUUAUUGCCAUUACUAAAAUUCCUGACGGAAGUUGAAUCAUCCUUAACUUUUGAUGCGACUUUUUUACUAUUUUAUCAUAGUAAUGUAAUCAAUCAAUGUAAAGUAAUUUCACAUUGUACAUUACUAUUUAUUAUAUUUGUGACAGUUGUAACUUAAUAGUGCAAACUAUUAUCAAAAUACCAGACCUUUCUUCUUUCUUACAUUUGCGAUUCAAUCUGACAAUUAACUUUAAAUUACUGAAUAUGUAUGGUAUUUUCCUAAUAUUAACAGCAAUUUGACACAUCUUUGUCUAAAACAUUGUACAAAUAUAAUAAGAAUAGUUUAAAAGAAUAAUAUAUAAAAAGUUACAUAAAUUUAAGGAUAUGAUUCAUCAUUCAUAUAUUUAAUGUUAUGUACAGUAUAUUCAUUCUGCCUUUAUUCUAUUAAUACAUAGUAUUAAAUGUAUUUACAUCUGUUUCUUUAAGAAUGUUAGAAUUAGAGAUCAUCGACGAUUCACUGCGCGGCGAUGAGAUUUUUCUGAAUAUUUAGAUGUGACAAGUGCAAAUAAUAUUGAAGAAUGCAUGGGUCUGUUUUUUUUAGUUUGAACUUCUUGCAUGGUUUACAUUUCCUCUUUUUCUCUAAUGAGUUAGAAAUAAAAAAAAAGAAAUAGUGCAACAAGUUUCAAUUAAAAAAAAUAGACCUAAUACAGUAUUAAAUUGUGUGUUUUGUCUCAAAAAGAUUGUUAAACGUAUAUUUGUCCGCAGUGCCUAUUAAUUACAGCGAUGCUCGUUAAACUGCUCGUUUGAUAAAUAAAAAAUUUCAAGGAUGCCCCUUGACCGUAGUAUUAAUAAUUUUCAUUAUUCUUUUCCUUCGUGCGUAUAUUUUAGGUUAAAAAGAAACAUAUUUUGAGCACAAAAUUUCAACAUAAAUAUUUUAUACUUCAUGUCAUAUGUAUUUAUAAUGAUUUAAUCUUUCGUCUUAUUUUUUCCUAUAAAUAUCCGGGAUAUUAGUUUCAUAUUUUUAACUCUUUUUUUUUUUAAAUAGGUGUUUAUGCAUUUUUUAAUCACUUUUCUAUUUAAGUCUUUUUGGAUAUGAUUGAAUAUAUGUGUCUAUUAAUGCCCGCGAUGUAACUUCGCGAUGUAAGAUUGCUUGAAUAUAGGAUUAAAUUUCAUGAUUCUCUAAUUCUGAGCAGUGUACCAUGCAUCGUAAUUAUGCAAUAGAUCCGAUCCUCAGCGCUGUUUACCUAAGGUAUUAGCUGUACAUUAACUAAUAUCUGUUAAAAGAAAAAAAAGAUUGUAAAUACAAAAAUGGAAAAGAGAGGAAUACGGAAAAAUCGA